rnacentral:misc_RNA from 1 species
AAAAACUUCGGCAAGAACGUGGAGCUUGUGCGUGAGACUUGUGUGCUAACUUAGACCACAAGCCCCCUCACGAGCCUGUUUUUACGAACCCUGUGUGAACCGUAAUAUUUAUUCCAUCCACGUAUACGAAAUUUCUAGUCUAAAGUCUUCUUCAUAUCACGAGAAUAUGAUAAAAA